rnacentral:rRNA from 1 species
UACACACCGCCCGUCACGUCAUGAAAGUUGGAGACGCCUGAAGUGGGUGAGCCAACCGUAAGGGGGCAGCCUCCGAGGGCGGAGCCAGCGAUUGGGACG